AUUGAACGCUGGCGGCAGGCCUAACACAUGCAAGUCGAACGAGUGGCGGACGGGUGAGUAAUGUCUGGGAAACUGCCCGAUGGAGGGGGGUAACUACUGGAAACGGUAGCUAAUACAGCAUACCAUCGGAUGUGCCCAGAGGGGAUUAGCUAUGAGGAGGGGUAACGGCUCACCUAGGCGACGAUCCCGAGCUGGGUUGAGAGGAUGACCAGCCACACUGGACCUGAGACACGGUCCAGACUCCUAAGGGAGGCAGCAGUGGGGAAUAUUGCACAAGGGGCGCAAGCCUGAUGCAGCCAUGCCGCGGGUAUGAAGAAGGCCUUCGGGUUGUAAAGUACUUUCAGCGAGGAGGCGUUACUCGCAGAAGAAGCACCGGCUAACUCCGUGCCAGCAGCCGCGGUAAUUC
rnacentral:rRNA from 1 species